GACACCCGGUGUUCCGUAUAACAUAACCUCAAUUAAUAAAAAGAAAGUACCUACCAUAAUGAUAUAACGUUAUGAUCACGCAGUGUGAGGGAUAAUAACAAAUAAACAAAAUGUUGAAAACGCUCAGAUUUAGUCAGAGGCUCUGUCGCGUUUGUAGUGGACUUAAAAACGUAACGCAGAGAAGAUCAUUUCUAUCGGAGGCGUAUCGUUGCGAGGAGGCGUGGAGUCGUCGAUUGGAAUCGCCGUUAUUGCAGAAGAUCGAGCCGAUAACGAUGUUCGCCGAGCUGGAACAGAAAUACGGGAGUGCGGGCAAGGUGAGCGCCGUCGAUGUUGACAUCUUCGUGAAUAGCGUCACCGAUGAUUCGUAUAUCGAUGAGGUGAUGAAGAUUCUGCACAAUCUCAGACAAUCCACGGAAGCGACCAACAUUCUCGACUCUACGCAUCACGCCGCGAUACGAUAUUUCUUGCAGCAUGAUUUUAUUCAGGAACUGCACGAGGUGCUGAACGAUAGACUCAAUUACGGCAUCUUCCCCGAUUAUUUCGACUACAACAUGCUCAUGGACCAUUUCGUAAAGAGAAAAGAUUAUGCCUCCGCCGCAAAGAUUGCGACCUUGGUCAUGUUGCAGGAAGAUACGGGUCAUCCUAUCACAAACGCAUUCUGCAUUUACGCAUGUCAUAAGUAUCUGGAGAAUCCUGACGAUUGGAAGAAAACCGAAAUUCCACAAGAUACAUCCAAGGAGGAAAUAAAGGUGCGUGUAAAGUACUUAAAAAACCCUUACUUCGAUGAUCACUUUGAUCUUACUGAUCCAAGAGAUCUCGUCGGCAAGACUCUGAGUUUUCAAGGAAAGCAUAGGAUGGAUGCUCUAGGAAGAACUUGUCAACUGAGAGGUUUAAUAUUAUAUAAAAAAUAUGACGAUGUGUUUAAGUUGAUAAAGGAAUGGCUGGAGAUGAUACAAGACAAAAUAGUUUAUGAAGAAAUAUUUGAAUUAAUAUCGAAAGACAAUAGCAAUCUUCAAGAUCAAGAUUUUGAAAAGUUCAAACUUGUGGAGGCUCCAUUAUCCCUCUUAAAGGAGAAACAAAACCUUAAAGAAAAUUUAAAUGAAACAAUGGAGAAUCUUAUUAGAGCCACAGUAAAGGAGGAAGCUGAGAAAGAUAUUUCUAAGCAGUGUCAGGCUUAUUCCGACUGGGAACAUAUAAGGGCUUCAAUAUUACAAACACAAAUAAAAGCAAUAGAAACAGAAAGAAGAGUAGCAAAUAUAGAGAAAAUAAAGAAGGAAUUGAAAGAGAGAGAGCAACUUUUGACGUUCUUUGACAAUGAGGAAGCUCUCGAAUUACAAAUAGAAAGGAUACAGGAAAAAGAACGCAAAGAGGAUGAACGUAUACAUAAAAUGCACAAAAGCGAAAAGAAAUUAAGAGCACUGAUUACUGCAGAAUCUUACGUACCACCAGAUAUUAAAGAUAGAAAUUAAGAAAAGUGUGUGUUAUAAAAUAAGAAAAUAGAACAUAAUACAUGUACAGAGGAUUAAAACGAAAAAACCAACAGAACUGUUAUUUUUUAACAUAUUGAUAUUGCAGUAUUAUAUGUCAUUUAUUUUAUUUACAGCUGUAAUCAGAUCUUUUCCAAGCUGCAUGAAAUACGAAAGUUGAACUUGAUGCUAAAAAAUUAUUAGGCUUUGUAACAAAUGAAUCUUUUGAGCAUUGAUGUUAACGUGUCAUUAUACACUUGGCCCGAGGCGAGCGCCUGACUAUUCCAGGCCAAGGCACGUUUUUCAGCAGCCAACUUAGAUUCGCAAAGAUUCUUGCUGGCAAUAUCGCGUUAUAUCUUGCCAGCUAUACAGCUAAAAAAUGUUUGGUCUUCGAUGCUUUUGAUCGUAUUCAUUUAUAUUCUGUAAAGGAGCAAAAUAAUGUCUAUUUCAUUCAUAUAAUGUUGCGAAGAAAAAAAUCAAAUCAUUUAUAUAUGAUUCUGGUAUCUAUCAUAUACAAUUAAUGUGAAAAAUGAACUUUUGUACCUGUGUUAGAUAUAUUCUUAUCUGGUCCUGAAUAUUACAAUAUGUAAAAUGCGACCACACUAUACAUAACAAUCACGAAGCUUUACUCUGUAAUUGUGCCGUUAAUGCUGCGGUUUCUUGUUUCAUUUGUUUCAAAUCGGCAGUUAUCCUCUCCAAAUUAGCACCGACAUUCUUAGCGGAUUCGGAAUCAAUCUGAAUAAAUGUUACAUAAAAACAUAGA